GUUGUGGCUCAGCGGUAGAAUGCUCGCCUAGUACGUGAGAGGCCCUGAGUUUGAUCCUCAGCACCACA
rnacentral:tRNA from 1 species